CGCGUAGGCGGGAUGGCAAGUCGGUCGUGAAAUCCUUCGGCUCAACCGAAGAACGUCGGCCGGUACUGCCGUUCUUGAGGGAUGCAGAGGAGACUGGAAUUCCCGGUGUAGCGGUGAAAUGUGUAGAGAUCGGGAGGAACACCGGUGGCGAAGGCGGGUCUCUGGGCAUCUCCUGACGCUGAGGCGCGAAAGCGUGGGGAGCAAACGGGAUUAGAUACCCCGGUAGUCCACGCCAUAAACGAUGACGACUAGGUGUGGGGUGGUUCAGUCCACUCCGUGCCGCAGCUAACGCAUUAAGUCGUCCGCCUGGGGAGUACGGCCGCAAGGUUGAA
rnacentral:rRNA from 1 species